rnacentral:rRNA from 1 species
UACAGAGGGUGCAAGCGUUAAUCGGAAUUACUGGGCGUAAAGCGCACGUAGGCGGUUUUCUAAGUCAGAUGUGAAAGCCCCGGGCUCAACCUGGGAAUUGCAUUUGAAACUGGGGAACUAGAGUGUGUGAGAGGGGGGUAGAAUUCCAAGUGUAGCGGUGAAAUGCGUAGAGAUUUGGAGGAAUACCAGUGGCGAAGGCGGCCCCCUGGCACAACACUGACGCUCAGGUGCGAAAGCGUGGGGAGCAAACAGG